CACUGAGUAGCUAUUAAGGUAAAGCAUUAGCCUUUUAAGCUAAUACAGGUGCCCACCACCCACCCUCAGUGA
rnacentral:tRNA from 1 species